AACAUGUAUCUACAUUACCGAAAUAACAAGCAGCCGUUGUAUAAGGCAUACUUAAUGGGACUCCCCCAGUAACCAUUUCGAGAGUAUAAGAAGACCGUGUUUUAACCGAUCGGUACCCAGCAGUUUCUACAAGUUCAACGGAACACUAUUGAAAAAAAGAAAAAAUAAGCAAAAUGUCACGAGUUAUUUUACUGUUAUCAAUAAUUUUAUUCAUUGGCUGCUUCUAUGCUGUUGCAGGACAAUGUGACGGCCAUUGGUGUAGUUGGCUCUCUCAGUGUGGCUGUAGAGGUUACGCUUGUAAGAGCGGUACUUGCGCAAAGGUGCCUCUUCGGGAAUUCGCCGAGAAUCUCUAAAAGUGAAGUUUUACAAAUUUUCUGUCAGGAGUAUACGACAAUUUCAAAAUUGUAGAUUUUUGUUACAAAAAAUGGCACCUUAUGAAUAUUGUAAUAUUGGUCUUAUUCAAUACUA